AGCCAACAUUAAGAACAUUCUAUAUGGAAUGCUAUAUUCCUUGGAGAAAAGAUUGAAGGUGACCGUAGUGACAUUCAGCAAUGAGAUGUGUAAACUGAGGUGUGAAGAGAUUAAAUAAUUUGUCCCAGGCCACACUGACAGUAAGUGAUCAAGCCAGCGAGUUGAACGAGGCCCAGACCAGAGCAAGCAAAUAGCCACUGUUCUACACUGCCUUAUCAUAUCCCCGUAGCGAAGUGCCUCAGACUGAGUGAUUUCAGUAAUAGCAGAUUAUUUGCUCAUGAUUAUGGAGACUGGAAGUCUGACAUCAAGCUGUUACCAGGAUUGGAUUCUCCUUAGGUCUUUAUCCUGGGUUGGAAGAUGGACAUUGUCACCCAUAUCUUUAUAUGGCUUCCUUGUAAGUAUGUCUGUGUCUUAAUUUCCUGGUUUUAAAGGACACCAGUCACAAUGGAUUAGGGACCAUGGUAAUGACCUCGUUUUAAUAGAAUGCCCUCUGUAAGACCCUCUCUUCAAAUACAGUCACUUCUUGAGGUCCUGGGGUUAGGGCUUCAACCUAUGAUUUUAGGGGGACACAAUUAAGCCUAUAUUUUUACACAAUUAAGCCUAUAAUUUUUAAUGGUUAUAAUAUGCUAGUUAUUUUACAAAAUGUCAAAAUUUUGAGCUCUAGAUUUUUUUUUGUUUGUUUGUUUGUUUUUG